UCGCUUCAGCAGCGCAUAUACUAAAAUCAAAAUGAUACAGAGAGGAUUAGCAUGGCCCCUGCACAAGGAUGACUCACAAAUUCAUGAAGUGUCCCAUGUUUUU
rnacentral:snRNA from 1 species